CAUUCGAACUAAGUUUUUAUGAGGAGGGGUAAGGCAUAACAAGGUAUCCGUAGGGGAACCUGCGGAUAGAUCACCUCAA
rnacentral:rRNA from 1 species